rnacentral:misc_RNA from 1 species
GGAGUUGAUGGAGAAGGAUGCAUUUGAGGAGCUUAAGAAAUUAUCAAUUGCAGUUGUUAAUCAGCAAUCAAUUAGGGACGUUGAAGAUUUGAAGCCAUCAAAGAGGCCUACCCGUGUUGCUGAUGCUGUCAAGCACCGAGGCUUCCUCGCUUAUGAGCGAGAAGGUGUAUCAUACAGGGAUCCAAAUGAGCGGAUUAAGGAUUGGAAGGAAGUUGCCGAGGAGUUGAAACCCGGGCCAUUGCUGAAGACACAAUCCGCCCGUUGCAUGGACUGCGGUACUCCUUUUUGCCAUCAGGAGACCUCCGGGUGCCCUCUUGGAAAUAAGAUUCCAGAGUUUAAUGAAUUAGUCCAUCAAAACCGAUGGCGUGAAGCUUUGGAUCGUCUUCUGGAAACAAACAACUUCCCUGAAUUUACUGGCCGAGUCUGCCCAGCUCCAUGUGAGGGAUCAUGCGUUCUUGGUAUUAUCGAGAAUCCCGUUUCUAUUAAAAGCAUAGAAUGUGCCAUCAUAGACAAAGGUUUUGAAGAAGGAUGGAUGGUACCUCGGCCUCCAGCUAAGCGAACUGGGAAAAAGGUUGCCAUUGUCGGUAGUGGGCCAUCUGGUUUAGCGGCUGCUGACCAGUUGAAUAAAAUGGGCCACUUGGUCACUGUCUACGAGCGUGCUGAUCGAAUUGGGGGCCUAAUGAUGUACGGAGUUCCAAACAUGAAGACAGACAAGAUCGACAUCGUCCAACGGCGCGUCAAUCUCAUGACAGACGAAGGUAUCAAGUUCGUAGUGAAUGCUAAUGUUGGAACUGAUCCCAUGUAUUCACUUGA